GUUUGGGGAGAUAACUCCUACAAAGAAAAGUAUUCGUUUACGCAGGGUAAAUUUCAAAAGCGCAUAAACUGUUCGAUAUCAUAUACCAAAUAUCUAAGCGACAUAUUGCGAAACAAAUGUUUAUCGCAAGAACAAAAUUAGGCGGAAGAAAAAAAAAAAAAAAAAAAUAAUCAGAAGAAAAACAAUAGGUCUUUCCACAGAAAAGUGGAAAGACCUAAUAAAUAUUGAUAGAAAAUAUAAGCA
rnacentral:lncRNA from 1 species